rnacentral:rRNA from 1 species
UACAGAGGGGGCAAGCGUUGUUCGGAAUUACUGGGCGUAAAGGGCGCGUAGGCGGCCUUCUAAGUCGAACGUGAAAUCCCCGGGCUCAACCCGGGAACUGCGUCCGAUACUGGAAGGCUUGAAUCCGGGAGAGGGAUGCGGAACUCCAGGUGUAGCGGUGAAAUGCGUAGAUAUCUGGAGGAACACCGGUGGCGAAGGCGGCAUCCUGGACCGGCAUUGACGCUGAGGCGCGAAAGCUAGGGGAGCAAACGGG